GUAGUCAUAUGCUUGUCUCAAAGAUUAAGCCAUGCAUGUCUAAGUAUAAGCAAUUAUACCGCGAAACUGCGAAUGGCUCAUUAAAUCAGUUAUCGUUUAUUUGAUAGUUCCAUACUACUUGGAUAACCGUGGUAAUUCUAGAGCUAAUACAUGCGAAAAACCGCGACUCCAGAAGCGGUGUAUUUAUUAGAUUAAAGACCAAUGCCCUCCCGGGCUGACAGGUGAUUCAUGAUAACUUUUCGAAUCGCACGGCCUUGCGCCGGCGAUGGUUCAUUCAAAUUUCUGCCCUAUCAACUUUCGACUUUAGUGUAGUGGACUAAAGUGGUUGCAACGGGUAACGGGGAAU
rnacentral:rRNA from 1 species